UACGAAGGGGGCUAGCGUUGUUCGGAAUCAUUGGGCGUAAAGGGCGCGUAGGUGGUUUUGUGUGUCUAUCGUGAAAGCCCACGGCUCAACCGUGGUGUGUCGGGAGAAACUGCAGGACUUGAGGCUGGGAGGGGCUGGUGGAAUUCCCUGUGUAGCGGUGAAAUGCGUAGAGAUGGGGGAGAACACUCGUGGCGAAGGCGGCCAGCUAGACCAGUUCUGACACUGAGGCGCGAUAGCGUGGGGAGCAAACAGG
rnacentral:rRNA from 1 species